UACGUAGGCAGCGAGCGUUGUUCGGAGUUACUGGGCGUAAAGAGUGCGUAGGCGGUUUUCUAAGUUUGGUGUGAAAUCUCCCGGCUUAACUGGGAGGGUGCGCCGAAGACUGGAAGGCUUGAGUAUGGGAGAGGUAAGCGGAAUUCCUGGUGUAGCGGUGAAAUGCGUAGAUAUCAGGAGGAACACCGGUGGCGAAGGCGGUUCUCUGGGCAUUACCUGACGCUGAGGAGCGAAAGUGUGGGGAGCGAACAGG
rnacentral:rRNA from 1 species